UCGCGCUUCUCUCUCGCAGUCUCCUCCUCCCAAACCGCGAGCGAAAAGGGCGAGG
rnacentral:pre_miRNA from 1 species